AAUGGUAGACAUGAAGUUAGCGGCGUUGCUCUUGUUGCCGAUUUUCAUCACGGCAGUUUUGUCGGAUGGCGAAACAGGAACAAGGAAAGCUGUGGUUGAGAGUUGCAGUGGAUGACGUUUGAACCGCUUUCCUGCCAUAAAAAGAUUUGUAUAUGAAGAUGUUGAUGCAGGAUUAUAUCCAGGUGUUGAGUUCCGCAGGAAGUCAGGAGCUCCGCCAGUGUUGAUCCUUGAUGAGGGCGAGGAAAAUGAGGAGAGAAUCAGUUUGGAAAGUCAUGACUUGGAGUCCUGUCGAAAGCUCAUGGAAGAAAAGGGUUUCAAGCGAAAGGAAAAAAAAUCUGUUGUAACUGAUAAAGAAGAUUUGUAAAAACCUACAUAGUUAGAGAGAAACCUGUUAGAAUUCAUAUCAUUACUUAUACUCUGGUAGGACGAGUAAUGAAUGGAAUGUAUUUUUAUGUAAACAUCAAUAUAUUCAUGUUACAAAAUUUUUUAAGAAAUAAGAUUCAGUAGAAAAACGAGAAGCAUAUAUGUGAUUUUGAUUUUAGUCCCAUGUGAGAAGAGUUCUGAGGCAACUGAAGCUAUAUAUACUGACGUGUCAAAAUGAUUUUAUCCUGAAUUAAGCCCAGUAGCAUCACAUAUUUUUUGUAUACCACUGACAAAGUCAGAGUUAUGCUUGUUUAAUCUAGGAUGUUGAAAUGGCAAUUAUUAGUAAUUUUAAUGAAUAGCAAUAUUUACCAAUAUAUAUGGGUGGACCUAUUACCAGGCAGAGACUUAUCUCAGGAUAAAUGGGUAUAUUUGUAAUGUUUUCAUAAAACAAAACUGAAAUUAAGUCUUGUAUGUAUUUAUAUAAUACAUUUAUAUUUUUUAAUACAGGGCAUUCCAUUUCGUUCAAAAUCAUAGUUUACUUGCUGUUAUCAUUGACAGGUCAAUCUGAAUGUGUUUUAUUUAGAAGUUGAAAGUAGACUGUUACACUACCUGUGACAAGGAUUGAUUAGAAUGAAUGUCUUGAUACGAAGGCUCUAGUGUGAUUGUUCAAUUCUUUCUAUCUUGUUAAGAAAUGAGAUAUUUUAUAUCAGUUACUAUUUUCAUAAUGAAAUUUUAUCUAUUUAAAUAUCUACACAAUGUACAUGUGCAAUAAACAUGUUUUCCUUUAGAAAUAUUCAGGUUUGAUAAUCUCUCAACAUGUCUUAAGUGUGUGUUUUGAAUGCAUGUGUGUGCGAGAAUUAUUUAACAGGUAAAAUUGCAUAAUUUGUAUUUAUUUCCAUCAUGAAGAAAGAUGUUGUCGAGAUUCACCAGACAAUGACUUGUCUUGCUAGUUUUCUGUGAGGGCAAGAUUUUAUGAAAUUAGGAACAAAAACUUUAGCUGUUUCUAAUGGAUGGUUGACACUUGUACCCCAUAAUGGAAACUAGCAAUGAAGUUGUUGUGUAAUGUCUCUUGAUGAUGAAGCAUGGAGAAAUCACAAUAAAAUCUGUGAUAAAUCUU